CCGUAAGUGUGAUAUAUACCAUAUUUGUCAUGCAGAUCCCAAAUUUUCUGAAAACGGCUUCAGGUUUUUCGAUCUUCAUCUCUCAAUUCUUAUAUCACCAGUUUCUUAAUGAAAAGUUGUCAUAUACGUCUAAAUCAUAGAUCAAUUCCCUUCAAAACUAAAGAUAAAUGGGAUGCAAAUAUUUACCUCAACAAAAAAUAUCAAUGGUAGAGAAUUUAAGAGAUACAUAAGAAGUGAGUAACAGAGCGCCAGAAACAGUAUUAGAGAUCCUGAAACCGUGAAAGUAUUAAUUAAAUGAGAGUGACAUGGUUUACGUAAACCAGAAUCGUUAGAUUUAAUUGAUGUAAACCGAGUCAAAGCCUAUAUAUAAAGCAGAGUCUUGGAACAUCAACUAUCCUGUGUUUUAUCUGUGGACAACCAAAAUAAGUCGGUUUGACAAAUUAGGGAUCAAAAAUCAAACUAGUAAAGGCCCAUUGGAAAACGGGAACACGAGUUUCGUUGGAUAAAUAGAAUAGUAGCCUAGGGUUCUUCGGUUGUCACGAGGAAUUUCCGUUUCCUUGUAUUUCAAGCUAGCGUUAGACCUCCACAAGUCGUUCGUUGUUCUCCGCUUCUUAUUUCAAACCCUAAGUACUCAUUCGCGUUACCCACUCCUCUUCUUUUCUUUGAACCUCAAGGUUUUAAAGAGAAAGACUUUGUUGCAUAAUGACACCAACACAUGAUUUGUACCACAGCUUGCCAUAUUGAACUGAGACCAACAGAACACAUUUGACGUUUAUGAACAGAGACUAUAAUGACCUUUCUGUGAUAGCCUCUUCAUAGUAUUCAUGUGACAGCCUCUUCAUAUGAUCCAUGAUUGCAUUGCAGGCCUGAACCCUUUUUAACCCCCAAAAAUAUUAAUCACCCACUUGAAAACCAAGCUAGGUUCUGGAAGUUUACUCCACCACCAAAUCGUUAAGUUUCUCAUUUGUUGGAAGAAUUGGAAUGAGAACAAAUCGAUCUUCAUCUCUCAAUUCUCAUAUCACCAGUUUCUUAAUGAAAAGUUGUCAUAUACGUCUAAAUCAUAGAUCAAUUCCCUUCAAAACUAAAGAUAAAUGGGAUGCAAAUAUUUACCUCAACAAAAAAUAUCAAUGGUAGAGAAUUUAAGAGAUACAUAAGAAGUGAGUAACAGAGCGCCAGAAACAGUAUUAGAGAUCCUGAAACCGUGAAAGUAUUAAUUAAAUGAGAGUGACAUGGUUUACGUAAACCAGAAUCGUUAGAUUUAAUUGAUGUAAACCGAGUCAAAGCCUCUAUAUAAAGCAGAGUCUUGGAACAUCAACAUCAAUUUAAGUCGGUCUUACAAAUAAUAAUGGAUCAAAAUCAAAUUAGUAGAGGCCCAUUGGAGAAUGGGAACACGAGUUUCAUUCGAUAAAUACUAGCAUAGGGUUCUUCGGUUGUCACGAGGGUGUAUUUUCUGUUUCCUUGUAUUCCAAGCGUUAGACCUCCACAAGUCGUUUGUUGUUCUCCGCUUCUUCUAAACGCCACGACGGUUCUUGCGACGGCUGAGUGGUUGUAGGAAAACUAUGUCAAUCUCUGAGAAGCCUCUAGAGAGCAUAGGAUGGAUCGAGAAAACGGCAUAUGUGGUUGCACUAAAGGGGCCGGAGGUUGAGAAGGCGAUCAACAUAUACCCGUUAUUAUAAAUAUGAAUUAUUUACCAUUUAGCAAAUUGAAUAAAAGAAAUGAUUCAUACACAAAAGAACAGACAAUUACGACUUAGCAAUUCUAAUCGAUAUUAACAAAUACAAAAAAAAAUUAUGUUGAAAUUGGCUAACGGUUAUAUA